AGAGUUUGAUCCUGGCUCAGAACGAACGCUGGCGGCGUGCCUAACACAUGCAAGUCGAACGGGGAUAAGUAGCUUGCUAUUUAUUCUAGUGGCGCACGGGUGAGUAACGCGUAGAUAAUCUGCCUUAGACUCUGGGAUAACAUCUCGAAAGGGGUGCUAAUACCGGAUAAGCCCACGGGGACGUGAGUUCUUGCGGGAAAAGGGGGCCUCUGCAUAUGCUCUUGAUCUAAGAUGAGUCUGCGUACCAUUAGCUUGUUGGUAGGGUAAUGGCCUACCAAGGCGACGAUGGUUAGCUGGUCUGAGAGGAUGAUCAGCCACACUGGGACUGAGACACGGCCCAGACUCCUACGGGAGGCAGCAGUGGGGAAUUUUGCGCAAUGGGGGAAACCCUGACGCAGCAACGCCGCGUGAGUGAUGAAGGCUUUCGGGUCGUAAAGCUCUGUCUAGAGGGAAGAAGUGAUAUUCGGUUAAUACCCGGGUUUCUUGACGGUACCCUCAAAGGAAGCACCGGCUAACUCCGUGCCAGCAGCCGCGGUAAUA
rnacentral:rRNA from 1 species